UACAUGGGGUGCAAACGUUGCUCGGAAUUAUUGGGCGUAAAGAGCUCGUAGGCGGUCUGUCGCGUCGAUCGUGAAAACUUGGGGCUUAACCCUGAGCUUGCGGUCGAUACGGGCAUGACUGGAGUUCGGCAGGGGAGACUGGAAUUCCUGGUGUAGCGGUGAAAUGCGCAGAUAUCAGGAGGAACACCGGUGGCGAAGGCGGGUCUCUGGGCCGAUACUGACGCUGAGGAGCGAAAGCGUGGGGAGCGAACAGG
rnacentral:rRNA from 1 species